GAUAACCUUAGGAAGAGACACAUCAUCAAACCCCUUGAUUGUGUUUACUGCUUGGAACAAGAGUCUUGUUCUCACCUAUUUUUUGAAUGUAUAGUUGCUAAACAUCUCUGGGCCCACAUUGAGGAAUAUUUCUCUAGUCAGAUUGGCUCAUCCUUCGAAUGUGUCGCCAGAUUCUGGAUUGCUACCAAAAAGUGCUUAGUUUUAAAUACUGUUAGCUCAGCUGUGCUUUGGUGCCUCUAGAAAUAUAGAAAUGCUAUGAUUUUCAGUAACACCUCCUGGAUUUCCAUUCCGCGGGUCUUGAGGUUGAUCAGGAACAUGCUGAGGAACUGGGCGAUUCUCUCCUCUGGAUCGGACAAGGACAAGUUGAUGAGCUUCGUGGAAACCCUAACAAGAUCCCUCCAGAAACCGUUGGCGAUCACUUGUGGCUGA
rnacentral:rRNA from 1 species